CAGACAGCAGGCAGGAGGCAGGAAUGGGCUCUGGCAAGAGCCCGAGGACAGCAAGUUUCAACAGGGUAUUUUUUGAAGAGAUUGUUGGCGACAUUAUCUUAUUAAGUUACAGCAAGAUCAUCCUUCCAAAUCUCUUUUCUCUAACUGCCCUUGUCACCUUACUAGCUGAGAAAAAGGAGAUCAAAAAGCAACAUGAAUAUGUAAAAAGUUGAAACAUUCUGUGUCCGAGGAUUCCAUUUGGACACUUAGGAAGAAGAGCACUCUGGCAGAACUGGGCCACAGGAAGCAGAGAGCUAGCUUGGCAUCUCUCUGACAUAUUCUGUCUCUCGGUCUCCUUUUCCUUUC